CUAGCUUGCUAGUUGCUGACGAGUGGCGGACGGGUGAGUAAUACUUAGGGAUCUGCCUCUGUGUGGGGGAUAACUAUUGGAAACGAUAGCUAAUACCGCAUAACGUCUACGGACCAAAGAGGGCUUCGGCUCUCGCGCAGAGAGGAACCUAAGCGAGAUUAGCUUGUUGGUGAGGUAAAGGCUCACCAAGGCGACGAUCUCUAGCUGUUCUGAGAGGAAGAUCAGCCACACUGGAACUGAGACACGGUCCAGACUCCUACGGGAGGCAGCAGUGGGGAAUAUUGCACAAUGGGGGCAACCCUGAUGCAGCCAUGCCGCGUGUGUGAAGAAGGCCUUCGGGUUGUAAAGCACUUUCAGUUGUGAGGAAAGGUUAGUAGUUAAUACCUGCUAGCUGUGACGUUAACAACAGAAGAAGCACCGGCUAACUCCGUGCCAGCAGCCGCGGUAAUACGGAGGGUGCGAGCGUUAAUCGGAAUUACUGGGCGUAAAGCGCACGCAGGCGGUCUGUUAAGCUAGAUGUGAAAGCCCCGCGCUCAACGUGGGAGGGUCAUUUAGAACUGGCAGACUAGAGUCUUG
rnacentral:rRNA from 1 species